rnacentral:lncRNA from 1 species
GGACGUUGGAGGGGUGGCCGCAUGGAGUGAGUACUGUCUCUGGCCACCGAGCAGAGCCAGUGACAGCAGCGUCCUGGUAGGCAGGCAGGCGUAUCAGGUUUCAGAGGAUGCGGCUGGGAACGGGAGUAGAGGUGAGGGGUCGUUGCAUCUGUCGCGGUGUGUAUCUUUUGGGGGUUCAGCGCCACCAGCGACUUGGGCCUCAUUCAUCGCGCUUACAUUUCUCCACCUCAUUUGAAGAACGAGCUUCGUAGCCCACGGAGCUGAGGUAUAUGAGCUCCCUGAAAGCACAAAGCAGUUAUUUCCAUCUUCAGAUCAUUCAGAGAUUAUGAAGGCACAAACCCUGCCUUCAAUUUGCUUAUAGUCAAGUGGAGCAGACACAAGUCAAUGAUUGCAGUAUAGCCACUGAAGUAAUCUAAAAGAGGUGGGGAGGCCACAGCUUAUGUGAAUGACUUUCUCAGGAGUUAUAAAGUGAUACAGACUUAUCAGCAGGUUGCAGGUGAACAUGGCCUUGAGAUGUUUUCUUCUAAAUAAAUGAGAAAGAUGUUUCAACAAAGGCUCUUUAUGCUGAAUAAUUGUGAUGCUUGAAGUUGCUAAUCUGCUUUAAGUGGAUUUUAAAUGUCAGGCAAUUCUAGACAGUUUUUUCUUGGUCAAAUAAAAAUUUAAUUAAAACUUUA